CUUGCUCGAUAAAGCUGCCUGGGUAGAAACCGGUUUUUCUUGCCCGAAAGGAAACAGGUGUGCUUGCAGAGUCUGUAUAAUCUCUAACAGUUGCACAGUAUGGGCUGCGAUGGCUGUGGGAUGUGACUGGAGCCAAAGUGUUCCCAACAUCUGAGAGAGAUGUCCUUUGUAACAAUCCUGAGGGGAGUGCCACCAGCUCUGGUUUGGGCUAAUGGAGUGCACAGAUGAAAACUCUUGUCCAACAGUACAUUAUGAACCAGAGAGAAGCUUGGGGUAUAUACCCAGUCCUUUGACCUACCUGCUGGAUGAUGCUGCCUUCCUUGUACGCAAGAGCUUUGAAAUUACACCACCAGAGAGCACUGUGCUAUUUCUACACAGUAUUUCUUACAUUUCCCUGCAUAUUUAAGGACCUAUUUUAUUUAGUCCUUUUUUUCUAUGCUCCGGUAGAACUCAAAUGAUUGUUGUGAUUAUAUUGGAAUUCCCAGUCAUUUUGGUAUCAUUGCCCUGUAUGCACCAACAGCCCUUAGGUGCCCUGUCCAGCCUCACCUGGGACCUUCACCCCACUUACGGCCCAGAAACCCCAUUUAAGCUCAGUGCUGGGCCUGGGCCCCUUGUGUCAGCUAUGUUGUAGGGGUGCUGGCCUGCAUUCUUGUCUUCUGGGUGGACCCGAGACCUGUGCUGGAGCUAGCCUGUCUCCUAGAUGGACUUCGGACCCACAGUGUAGCUUGUGUCCAGCCCUGCCUCCUUUUGCUCCUGACCAGACUCCUUGGAUAGCCCCUGUGCCCGAUUCAUCCCCUCUCCAUGUCUGGGAUGACUGAUGGACCCUGUCACCAGCACUCAGCUCUGCCUGCCAUGCUCCGAUGUGGUGGGCUUGUGUGCUGGUUGGUGAGGGCACUGCCUGUGCUGGGCUUGCCUGGGGCUCACCCCUCCUCAGAGCAGCCAGCCCUCUUUGCACCUUGACAUGUCUAACUGGCCCAUGAUCCGUAACACCUGCUACUGAAAAUAGACCAUGACAUCCAGGUACCAAACUGUCUUGUUUCUGCUGCUCCUGACAUAUCUACCAUGAAAGCAUAAUGUAUUUCACUUUAAAAAAUCAUGUAAUCCUGUAUUACAAGAGUUUAAAAUCCAGGUCAGAAAAGGGGAGGCAAUAAAUGGCAUAUCUAGUGGGAAAAUAUUUUCCUUAGUGUUACCUAGUUUUCUCUGAAAUUUCGUCUGUCCUUCUGAACUUCUGACAUUCUCUUUGUAGCCUGGAUUCUUGUAAUAUAGUUAGAAUACUUUUUGAACUGGAAAAGAAAUCCCUCCCACUUAAUUACAAUGCAUUUGAAAAAGCUAGAUUGAUUAAAAAUGUAGGAAAACCCAUAGCAACCUUAUCUCCAGACAGAGAUCUAAUACAGAAUAAACUAAUAGUUAAGUAGAAUGUGAGAAUUUCCCAUUUAAUUGUCUUUCACCAGUGAAAUUUGCAUGUAUUUAUGUAGGCAUUAAAAAAGGAAAUCAAUGUGGGAAAUGUCUUUUCAGCUAAUUCCUGGAUCCAUUUUAUCCAAAUAAACAAGUUUUUCUGAGGAUUUGGUUUUGACUCAAACUUCAAAUACUUUGCAGGAACAUGUCAAAAAAGACAACCUUUUUCAUUUUUGUUGGAAUUUUUUCCAAAGAUCAAAGUACCACCUUAAUGUUUUUAAGUUUAGUCACAGAACUGAGUUAUGGAUACUUCUUAAUCAUUUAAUAGGACAUAUAAUAAAUGUUUAGCCAUUUCAGCAGAAAGGUUAGGAAGCUACUCAUUCAUUACUUCUGCAGCUUGUUAUUAUUAGCACAAUUUUUAACAGAUCUUGGGCAGUAGCCUUUUAGAGGAGUGUAAUAAAGCCAACUUCAUAACUAUCCAAACAGAAUAAAAAUCAAAUAUAUGGUUGCAGGGAUUUCUAGACAAGGAGGAAAAACUCCUGAGUUAAAAGUACUUCAGUGGAAGCUGUCGCAGUAAGCUAGCUGUUUAGCCCUGUUUAUAAGAGGAAAUGUUGAUCUAAAGAUGGCACCAGGACAGAAAAUUCUAAACCAGUCUCCAUACAGGCUGAGCUAGGGUAUGGUAGUGAAACAGCAGUCUUGUACGUUAUGUGUCAGAGUGCAAAUGUUCAUGAAACAGAAGGUAUUUCAUGUAGAAAAAUAAAGUUCCUUAUUGGUUUUCCACAGUGUCUGUCCUUCUUCCUGUAUGUGUGGCAUUGCUAAAACUGUUAGAAGAAAUGGAAUAGACUUUGAUGCUGUGUAUUUGAAUAAGUAAUGCACUGUGGCGGGUGUCAAAUUAUCUCUGUUGCAAUUAAAGCUUUUUCUUUCUUGCUUUGUAACU